ACCUGGGUGGCUCAGUGGUUGAGCAUCUGCCUUUGGCGCAGGUAGUGAUCCUGGGGUCGUGGGAUGGAGUCCCACAUCUGGCU
rnacentral:tRNA from 1 species